rnacentral:rRNA from 1 species
CCCAGACUCCUACGGGAGGCAGCAGUGGGGAAUAUUGCACAAUGGGCGAAAGCCUGAUGCAGCGACGCCGCGUGAGUGAAGAAGUAUUUCGGUAUGUAAAGCUCUAUCAGCAGGGAAGAAAAUGACGGUACCUGACUAAGAAGCCCCGGCUAACUACGUGCCAGCAGCCGCGGUAAUACGUAGGGGGCGAGCGUUAUCCGGAUUCACUGGGUGUAAAGGGAGCGUAGACGGCCGUGCAAGCCAGGAGUGAAAGCCCGGGGCCCAACCCCGGGACUGCUCUUGGAACUGUGCGGCUGGAGUGCGGGAGGGGCAGGCGGAAUUCCUGGUGUAGCGGUGAAAUGCGUAGAUAUAAGGAGGAACACCGGCGGCGAAGGCGGCCUGCUGGACCGCGACUGACGUUGAGGCUCGAAAGCGUGGGGAGCGAACAGGAUUAGAUACCCGGGUAUUA